CGCUAAUCGUUUUGCGGACUCCAUCUGUAAUUUGUAUGUAUAUUAAGAAACAUGUGUGUAUAGAAAAUAAUUAUUUAACAUUCUGAAAACCAGUAUGAGCUUCUCAGCGAAGAUCGCUUUGAAGAUUGAUAGCCUCGAGUUGAAAUACAAGUAUCUUUUCAAAUUAUGUAAUAUGAUUUUGAGGUCUACAGAUAAAUAACAACCAAUGAAAAGUACGAACAACACUAAAAAGACCUUAAUUGACUACAAGCGAUUUGUCAGAAUAAAAUUAAACUAACCAUAGUGAAUAGAUCUGAAUAAUGACAAUUGAAAAAAGAAUUAUCUUUGAAUAUCAAAAUUCAGUAACCAGUGAAAUCAGAAGACGAAACCUGAGUUGCUGUUUUGUAUGUUUCUUUAAACGCACAUUUCAAGUUAAAUGCUGCAAAGAAAACCCAACUGUAGACAAAUAUUUUUUUUUAAAUAUUCUGUCUUCUAUAGUAUACUAAUUCAUUAAAUUAAAAUUAAAUGUACAUCAUUAAGAUUAUUGUAACC
rnacentral:lncRNA from 1 species